rnacentral:rRNA from 1 species
UAUUGCACAAUGGGGGAAAACCUGAUGCAGCGACGCCGCGUGAGUGAAGAAGUAGUUCGGUGUGUAAAGCUCUAUCCGCAGGGAAGAAAAUGACGGUACCUGAUUAAGAAGCCCCGGCUAACUACGUGCCAGCAGCCGCGGUAAUACGUAGGGGGCAAGCGUUAUCCGGAUUUACUGGGUGUAAAGGGAGCGUAGACGGCGGCACAAGUCUGGGGUGAAAUGCCGGGGCUUAACCCCGGAACUGCUUUGGAAACUGUGCAGCUAGAGUGCAGGAGAGGUAAGUGGAAUUCCUAGUGUAGCGGUGAAAUGCGUAGAUAUUAGGAGGAGCACCAGUGGCGAAGGCGGCUUACUGGACUGUAACUGACGUUGAGGCUCGAAAGCGUGGGGAGCAAACAGG